rnacentral:tRNA from 1 species
CGGGAUGUGGCGCAGUUUGGUAGCGCGCCUGCUUUGGGAGCAGGAUGCCGCAGGUUCGAAUCCUGUCAUCCCGACCA